UGGGGAAUUUUGGACAAUGGGCGAAAGCCUGAUCCAGCAAUGCCGCGUGUGUGAAGAAGGCCUUCGGGUUGUAAAGCACUUUUGUCCGGAAAGAAAUCCUUGGCUCUAAUACAGUCGGGGGAUGACGGUACCGGAAGAAUAAGCACCGGCUAACUACGUGCCAGCAGCCGCGGUAAUACGUAGGGUGCAAGCGUUAAUCGGAAUUACUGGGCGUAAAGCGUGCGCAGGCGGUUUGCUAAGACCGAUGUGAAAUCCCCGGGCUCAACCUGGGAACUGCAUUGGUGACUGGCAGGCUAGAGUAUGGCAGAGGGGGGUAGAAUUCCACGUGUAGCAGUGAAAUGCGUAGAGAUGUGGAGGAAUACCGAUGGCGAAGGCAGCCCCCUGGGCCAAUACUGACGCUCAUGCACGAAAGCGUGGGGAGCAAAACAGGAUUAGAUACCCUGGUAGUCCACGCCCUAAACGAUGUCAACUAGUUGUUGGGGAUUCAUUUCCUUAGUAACGUAGCUAACGCGUGAAGUUGACCGCCUGGGGAGUACGGUCGCAAGAUUAAAACUCAAAGGAAUUGACGGGGUCAUAGCUGUUUCC
rnacentral:rRNA from 1 species